GACGAACGCUGGCGGCGUGCCUAACACAUGCAAGUCGAACGGAAAGGCCCUGCGAUUGUGGGGUGCCCGAGUGGCGAACGCGUGAGUAACACGUGAGUAACCUGCCCUUCUCUUUCGGAUAACUUCACGUAACGGGGGCUAAUAUCGGAUAGGAGCUCCUCCUGCAGGGUGGGGGGUGGAUCGUCUCGGCGGUUGGGGAUGGACUCGCGGCUUAUCAGCUUGCUGGUGGGGUAGUGGCUUACCCAGGCUUUGACGGCUAGCCGGCAUGUGAGGGGGGCCGGCCACAUGGGGACUGAGAGAGGGCCCAGACGCCAACGGGAGGCAACGGGGGGAAGUAUGACACAGUGGGCCGGAGCCGGAUGAGAAAGCGCCCGGGGCGGGAAGACGGCCUUCGGGUUGAAAACCGCUUCCGCCUGAGACGAAGCGUUUGUGACGGUAAUGAAUAAAGAAGCACCGGCUAACUACGUG
rnacentral:rRNA from 1 species